rnacentral:lncRNA from 1 species
CAGGUUUGGAAUCCACCCAAAUAGAGUUGAAAAUUGAAGCCACCAGAAUGGUUGAGUUUGCCAAGAGAUAAAACAUAUAAGCAGCAAGGCAUCAAGAAUGACAUGGAGAGUGUCCAUAUUGAGGUUUGGAAAAAAUGAUUCAAAGAAAUUGGCAGUGAAGGGAGGCUCAAAGAGGAGGAAGAAAACCUAAAGACUGCCAUGUCUUGUGUGCCAGUGAAUCAAAUAUUUGACAAAGGAGGAGAAAGUUGUCUCAGUGUCAAACGCUGCAGUUUUCUGUAAUGGAAGAGUUAAAAGGCCAAGUUAAUGUGACACUUGAAAAGUUGUAGUUAAAUCUUUGACAGAUCUAUUGAUAUAAAGUGGUCAGGGCAGAUGCAGGAUUAAAGAAUCAGAGGAUUGUGAGAGUAGAGGCACUGGAUUUGAGAGUGAGAGAGUAGUGGCAGUUCAUGAAUGCAGACAUAUCUUAAGAUCAGAUGGUGAAGAAAAAGAAAGAAGAUGGAGAACAGCUCAGCUAGUGCAAAGUCAGAGAAAGGUUAUUUGGGUUUUGUUGUUUUUAGGAUAGGAAGAAAUCACAUUUGUAGGCAGAGGAGCUAGAAGCUGGUAAGAAAGAAAUGGGAAGGUGAAAUUCUCAAAGAAAGCACAAGAGGAUGGAAUUAAGAGCACAAGCUUAGAGUUAACCUUGGCAAAAUACAGACGCCCUUCAAAGAAAGGGAAACCAGUGGUGUAGGACUUAAGAAAAAGGAGUAUUAUGGGGCAAAGACGUGAGGUUGAUUUGGUCAGUCUCUG